GCGGAUCUUCCGCUCCCGGUUGCCGCCGGCUCCCCUCGCGGCGGUCGCUGGGCGGCGUCGCCAUCUCGUAGGGAAAACGGGGGGGGACGAAACGGGUGAGAACAGCAGGUGGCACCGUUUCCUCCCGAGGUGCCGUUGCGUUCCCCUGCGCACACCGCGCCGAACUGGCGGCCCCGCGUCUCUCCGCGAUGUGGCAGCAGUGGUGCCGCACGCGUCGUUCGGUUUGGGAGGGCCCCAUUAAAACGAGGGCGAGAUCUGUCCUGGUGUUUUGUCCCGGUGCAUUUCAGAAAUCUCUUGCACUUCUACAGCUGUACUCGCGACGUGGCCGGCAGGCUGUCCGCUAGUGUGGCUUCUCGCUUCAAACGCAGAUUCCUUGUUGUUUUCGAACAUGAAUUGAAGUACACAGAUCCGUGCUUUGGUAACGAUUGUUCUUUGAAACCAGGAACGUGCCUCCUAAACGGUAACUGAUGGAUAACGGGAGGAGCCCGUUGCGCUGAGGACACCCCUGCGAUUUGUUGGGCUGCUUCGGAUUGGAAUGUUUUCCCUAUUAAAGAACUACAAAUUCCUGCAGAUGGUCAUUGAACUGAAAGAAAGGCAGCAACCUCCAAGAAGCUUUCACUGAUUCAGAAGUCUUUUGUGAGCUUGAAAGGUGAAAGACCAGGCUCUGCCCUGGCCUCAGGAGUUAGCCCUUUGGCACAGCUUCAGCAUUAGAUUUUUACAGAUCCUCCCGCUUGGCUUCAUCAGUUAAACACAGUGCUGGCCCCAUUGCCCCGAGGAGUCAGUGCUUCCAUCUCUGCAGGAGGAGGAGGAGGAGACAGAGGAAGGGGGCUGGAGGCACAGGACCUGCUACACUAGUGGGGAGACCCAGCGGGGGUCAAUCAGGUUCUGAAAUAGCCAAACCUCCAAGCUGAUGUUUGCUUUGCUGUGCUGAUAUCGAAGCAGGAGACUCUGGAGCUGUGUGUGCAGAGGCCAAAUGAAUGUGCCUGCAAGGUGGAUUGCCUGCAGUGGUAAUCAAGAGAAGAAAGCCAUGGUAUUGUCCACUUGAGACUAGGGGGAAAAAAAAGUAACAAAAUUGGUGAGAAGAUGAGGACUGACAUUUUGUUUUGGAAAGGCAUGAAAAUGUGUGGGUAUGAUGCAGCCAUAUGUGAGGGAAAGAAAUGGGACGUGCUUGUGUACUGAAGGAAGAAACUGGAAGCAACUGACUUGUCCCCAGAACACCAGCUCUGUUAAUUAUCAAGGAUUUGAUUAGCGGAAAUUUGCCUGAGCGACUCUAGGAUCCAAAGCUGCAGAUUAGGCAAUAAACCAACCAAACAAGAAGCAGUUGCUGAGUUAAAAUAAUGAGUUUCUGAGGUCUGGAGCUGUGUGUGGGGGUGUUUCCCUGAGGAAGUUGCCAGCAAAGUGAGUACUGCUGAGCUGAGUGCAGCACUUCUCGCUGGAGCACAUCUGUCGCUGAGUCAAAGGCACUGUAUACUGCAGUGGAGGGCAUCCAGAACACGCAGAGGAGAAUAGCAGCCUUAGCUCUGGAUUCCACAAUUUAAUGGAAUUCAGGAUUGUGUGGGGUAGCUGAUGGGGGAUUCUGAGGCUCUGAAACAGGACAACCAACCAUGAAGGCAACUGACAUUCCUGCAACACUUAGGACUCACUUUAGAAUCACAGAAUCACCAAGGUUGGAAAAGCCCUCGAAGAUCAUCUGCUCCAGCAUUCCACCACUUUAGGAAGGAGCUGUUUUUUUUCUAAAGGUUUCCCUUUCUUUUACUGAGGGAGUCUUUUGUCAGCACGUCACGUAUUACAAAUCUCAGUGCUCGACAUCAGCUGUUUUAUUUUCACUUGUCUCUUCAGACAAUUUCAUCGUGGUCUCUCUUUUUUUUUUAUCCCCAAAUGGCACCCUCUGUGAGAACAAAUAUCGACACCAGAUCUUUUCUGCUCACAGGGAGAAAGAGAGCUAUAAUGACACUUAAAUGACUCUUAAAUAAAGCAAGUACUGCUGCUUCGGAGAAGGUAAGGGCAUGUGGAAUUUGUGGUGCAGAAUCCAUCGGAAGGAAAAAAUUAUGAGGUUCGAUUUCUAUGAACAGACAUUUCUGUAACUGUAAAUAAUAACAGCUCCUAAAUAGCAUUUAACCUGUACAGAGCUCUGUGGGAAAGUGAGUUCUGCAAGAAAUGUCUGGAUACCCUCCGUAGGCAUUGGAGAAGAAAACUAAUUGGCAGUCAGUCUGUUGUGGUCAUCUCUAUGCAGUCAUCUCUACAGCAGAGACCUGAAUUCGUCCAACAUCUUCCACGCGUCUGACUCCAAGUCUUUUUUUGGAGACACCCAUGAAACCCACUGGAAAGUCCAUCUUUGUAUAGCAUGCUGUGUGAGCACAUGCUAGGGAGACAGAAAAAACUAUUCCCUUUUCUCCCUUGAUUUCACACAGCUAUACAAAGAGGGAGGACUGGGCCUGUUAAAGAGUUAGGAGGUGCUGUCUUUUAAUCCAGUAAUUUUCUGUCCAAAGUAUAAACAACAGAUCCAAGUUAAGAACAAGGAGGAAAGGGAUUAAACUGCAGUUUUAGUGCCUAGCAGUAUUUUCGUAGUGCAUUUUUUUAAUUAAGAGAAACGAUGGUAUUUUCAUAUAAGAUGGAAUACAUUUUCUAAAUACGUCAAAUCUGGCAUCAGGUGUGAUUUGGAUAUGCACCUCUCAGAGGAUCUCCCUGUCUGAUGUUUAUGAGGCUGCUUUUGGUAGGUUGCCUCUAUUUGCUGCUGCAGCAAAAAGCAUUUACACCUAAUGAUGACAAGUAUAUCCUCUUUACGCCAUAAACAAUUGAUUUUCAAACAAAGAUAAGAGAAUUAUAUAUUAUGUAUUUCGUCUGUAAAACUAAUUAACUCCUUUGAUUUAGCUGAGAAAAGUGAUGUUUUCUGAAGCUCAGCUUUACUGAAAAUUGACCUUUCCAUCUACAAACAUACCAUUUAAUUUACAAGAGAAACAAAACCUUCAGAAUUGUAUUUACUCAGUUACUUUAAUAAAAGUCAGCCCUUCACAGAAACAAUUGUAAAUGUGGCAUUUAGCUUUUCAUAUUUUGGAAAGUGUUACUUGAAUCUCCACAUCCAAAUAGAACAUUGCCUUUGAAUUAAAAACAACCACAUAAAUAAGAACAAAGAAAUUUAAGAAAGUGGUCUCUAUCUAAGGUGUUGUAAUUAACCCUUAGCUUUUAUGCUCCCCUAGGACUAUUUUAUUUCUCCUGUGGAUAAGGUCAACUAAUGUUCAGUACAUAUCCAAAGAAUGAACGUAAUGUGUUUUAAAAGGUCCCCCAAGUUCAUCAGGAAAUAGAAGCUGCUUUUUCUUUGACCUCUAGGAAGGGGAAUUGGCAAAUUCAUUGAGGGAAGCUUUUUUGUCUGAGAUACGGAGGCCCCAGUCCAGCAAAGCACUUUAGUAUAUGAUGACUUUAAAUGUGAGUAGCCCCGCUGCAGCCAAUGGGUCUACUCCUGUACCUGCAGCACUAGUUAUGAUGUGUAUUGUAGCUGAGCCCUGGGAUGUCCAGCUGGACUACAGCCCCGCUGUGUAAUGAACUAAGAAAAAAACCAACGCUGAACAAUGGAGUAUGCUAGAAGCUGACCAUUUCAGCGUUUGGGGUUGUGUUGGUUUGGUGGUUUUUUGUGUUUUUUGGUGUUUUUUUGUUGUCGUCGUUGUUGUUGUUUGUUUGUUUGUUGCAUUCACGCUUUCUGAGAUUAAAGAAUCUAAUUGAUCUGGUU